UGGGCGUAAGGGCUCGCAGGCGGUUUCUUAAGUCUGAUGUGAAAGCCCCCGGCUCAACCGGGGAGGGUCAUUGGAAACUGGGAAACUUGAGUGCAGAAGAGGAGAGUGGAAUUCCACGUGUAGCGGUGAAAUGCGUAGAGAUGUGGAGGAACACCAGUGGCGAAGGCGACUCUCUGGUCUGUAACUGACGCUGAGGAGCGAAAGCGUGGGGAGCGAACAGGAUUAGAUACCCUGGUAGUCCACGCCGUAAACGAUGAGUGCUAAGUGUUAGGGGGUUUCCGCCCCUUAGUGCUGCAGCUAACGCAUUAAGCACUCCGCCUGGGGAGUACGGUCGCAAGACUGAAACUCAAAGGAAUUGACGGGGGCCCGCACAAGCGGUGGAGCAUGUGGUUUAAUUCGAAGCAACGCGAAGAACCUUACCAGGUCUUGACAUCCUCUGACAACCCUAGAGAUAGGGCUUUCCCUUCGGGGACAGAGUGACAGGUGGUGCAUGGUUGUCGUCAGCUCGUGUCGUGAGAUGUUGGGUUAAGUCCCGCAACGAGCGCAACCCUUGAUCUUAGUUGCCAGCAUUCAGUUGGGCACUCUAAGGUGACUGCCGGUGACAAACCGGAGGAGGGUGGGGAUGACGUCAAAUCAUCA
rnacentral:rRNA from 1 species